GACAGUGUGGUGCAGUGGUUUCAGCAUUGGAAGACAACUCUGGAGGCCAGGGUUCAAAUCCCCGCUUUGCCA